rnacentral:rRNA from 1 species
AUUAAACGCUGGCGGCAUGCCUUACACAUGCAAGUCGAACGGUAGCGCGGGGCAACCUGGCGACGAGUGGCGAACGGGUGAGUAAAGCAUCGGAACGUGCCCUGGAAUGGGGGAUAACGUAGCGAAAGUUACGCUAAUACCGCAUAUUCUGUGAGCAGGAAAGCAGGGGAUCGCAAGACCUUGCGUUCUGGGAGCGGCCGAUGUCGGAUUAGCUAGUUGGUGGGGUAAAAGCCUACCAAGGCGACGAUCCGUAGCGGGUCUGAGAGGAUGAUCCGCCACACUGGGACUGAGACACGGCCCAGACUCCUACGGGAGGCAGCAGUGGGGAAUUUUGGACAAUGGGCGGAAGCCUGAUCCAGCCAUGCCGCGUGAGUAAAGAAGGCCUCGGUU